AAAAAAAUUCUCAAAAUGCUCUUAUUUGAUGAGAAACAUGCAGAGAACAUCCCCAAUAAUAUUCAUGAAAUCGUUAUAACAUGCGAAAUUUGGAUUUUGCCUAAAAAUUCCAAAAAAAAAAAAUCAGAUUUUUUUUUUCAAAAUGGUCUUAUUUGAUGAGAAACGUGUAGACAACAUAACAUUUUGAAAUUGUAUUUUUCAAAAAGACUAAUAAAAAAUGUUCACCAUCUGACCAUGUCCAGUUUGGAGUUUAGCAAAAAAAUUUCCAAACAUUUUUUUUUCUAAAAAAAUUCUCAAAAUACUCUUAUUUUAUGAGAAAAAUGCUGAAAAGAUAACAUUUUGAAAUCUUUUUCCAAACAUUUUCUGUUUUAUAUAUGUAUUAGUCUCUUCAAACUUGCUGCUAUUAAUGUUAUAGUGUUAGCACCUUGUGGUUGGCCAGAUGUGUUCUGGUCUUCUGGCUUAUUGACACAAAGACUUUAGUAGAGAGCUUGUGUCAAUAUCCUUGUCUACCCCAUGCCGGCUGCACCAUAUGGAGAAGCCUGUUUGUAAUUCGUGGGCCUGGUCGGAGCACAGUGCCAGAGAAUUAGAGAGGUGGGAGGCAGUAGACAUUUUAAUUUGUGCUGCCAUGUGCAAAGGCAUGCACCUCCAGUGUAGGUUGGUUCCUGUGAUUAGGACUGGCAGCACAUUCGUAUAAAAGGGAAAGAUCAGGAAAACAGAGAAACAAAACAUAAUCGAGGAGAUAAAACUGAUGACAAAAAUGUUAUAACAACCAUUAUUGUGGUAAUGGUUGACGUCAUCAGUUGCAUCUCCUGGCCCUGUAGCCCUGUAGCCCUGUGCCUGUAGCACUGUAGCAUUAAAUAGCACAUAGUACCAUUACAACUUCAUUACAGUUUUGGAAAACAAAUAUAAAAACUAGUUCCUGGGUUAGCAGCAUUAAGCAGCAUUAUAUAGAAAUACCUUGAUUUGGACCCUUUAGAUUUCUAAGAUUAUCAUGUAAUGGAUACUGGUAUAGUCCAAUAUUAUUAGAUAGGCAAUGGGUUUUAGCUAGUAGUUUGAGGUUAACUUUUAAAAACAGGUAAAACAUGUCUGUAAUCUGUAACACUCACAACAACAACAACAAUAAUAAUAAUAAUAAUAAUAAUAAUAAUAAUAAUAAUAAUGAUAUAAUUGUUAUUGUUGUUAUUAUUACUAUAUGUAUUUACAUAUUUUAUAUAUAUAGUAAAUAAUUAAAUAGUAGGCCACACCUACUCUUUUGCCCCUAUUUAUAUCAGAUUUUUUCAAAGUAAUUGUUUUUUCAAAUAAAAUAAUUUAGUCAAACACAGAAGCUUCUUUUUAAAUAGUUUUUGUUUGAUUUUUCUUUGAACUCCUGUCCUUUUUUCUACUUGCUUCUACUUCACAUGUUCACAUGACCUGGUGAAUCUAUGCCUAGUGAUUGCUGCUAUUGACCCGGUUCGCUCUGGGACGUACUGCAGAACAUAAUUAAUAUAGUAGUACAAAAUUAAUGGGUGAAUGGAAAAUCAAUUAAAUGUCAAAACUCAAUGAUAUUCUUAUUUGAUUCUCAAAACAACUUCAGAAGUGUUUUUUCUUUUCUUUACAGGAUGAUGAUACAUGUCAGUGUGUACAUGUUGCACAGGCUGUGGAUACGUGUGGAGGUGUGUGUUGUGGGAGAGUCACUGUUGCUAAUGACUGCUUUCCCUCGAGCUUAAUCAGAGAUUUGUACAUUUAAUUGCUGUCAAGUCAGCGCUCACCACCUGCCGCGUCUCAUCACACAUGUGCUCAGCCGCUCUCUGGGAGUGAUUCCAGCUUUAUCUAAUGUCGCUGGCUGGAGGCUGGGACAACACAGCCUGCUGGACAACCUGCACUCAGCUGUACAAAGUCCAAACAGGGUCCAACCAAGUCUGUCUGGGGACUGCACAGCAUGGACCUGGAGAGCCUGCUUGGGACCGCAGGACGCCUUUAUCAGCACCUGGACCACAACACACCAAGCUCUCACUUAUACUGUUAAAGACUAUCUAGACCAGCAUUUUUCAACCUUGGGGUCAGCGACCUGCGUUGGGUCACCGGCUAUUCAAACGGGGUGACCUGAAAUGUCAAAAAAAUCCAAAAAGAAUUCUUAAAAAAUUAGUUUUCAGCUAAUAAUAAUUCAUUUUAAGAUUUAAAAUCAAAACAUUGCCCACACUCUCAAACAACUGUAUUGUCUCAUUAUUAAUAAUGUAAAUCAAGUUCAAACAAAUGCAGCACGUUCAAAUAUAUCAGCUGACACAUCUUGAUGGACAGCUGCGAUCACCUGACUACACAAGGGACAGCUGCUAAAGUGUCUCAUGGGGUUGCCAGAAAUUUGUAAUGUCAAACUGGGGUCACGAGCCAAAAAAGGUCAGGAUCCACUGAUCUAAACUAGGACUAAGACAGGACAAAAGCAGUGAGGUUGAGGUGCGUGUUCUCUAGUCUUACUGAGACGUUCAAGCUCACCAUGAUGUCAGCUACAUUUCAAAGCAGAGGAGUUUUUUGAAACUCAGCCAACCCUGCACCUCUUCAAGGCUAAACCUCACUCCCACACCCGUGCUGCGUGUGAGAGAGCUGGUGGUCUGGCUAUGUCCCUACGUGCGUCCUGGGAUGGGUGGAAUGUGGAUCAGAUCUGUUGUCAGUCCAGCCUGCAUGACGGGCAUUAUUGGUCCCCCAGAGAGCCUGAGGCCUCCAGGGAGAUGCAACACACGACCCAGCGAUGCAGCAUCAGAUGGAAGAGUGGGAGGAUUUAAAUGUGCGCUCUGAAAGACAGGAUCCGGAGGAGCACGAAGAGGCCGAUUUAAAGCUUGUUGGUGAUAAGUGGAUGUUUGAUGAGGGUUUUAUGUGGUAAUGGUGAUGGCAAAUGGAUGUGGUAGCCUAAAUCCCUUCAUCUGCCACCUGCAUCUACAAAAUGCAUUAGCUUUAUGUAACAAAUCACUGUAAUAAAGCUGGGGUUGUGAAGCUUUA